GUUGAAGUUGGAGCGGCAAUCACUUGGAAGUAUCCUAGUUGCAUUUUGAGGGGGAAAGAAAGUGUAGGAGAGUUUUACUCUAUCGCUUUAACA
rnacentral:tRNA from 1 species